GAUCCACUAGCUCAGGUGGUAGAGCACUUGACUUUUAAUUAAGGUGUCCCGGGUUCGAUUCCCGGGUGGAUCACCA
rnacentral:tRNA from 1 species